rnacentral:rRNA from 1 species
GACGAACGCUGGCGGCGUGCUUAACACAUGCAAGUCGAACGGGUCUGCCCUGUUUUUUGCGGGGUGGGUCAGUGGCGAACGGGUGAGUAACACGUGAGUAACCUGCCCCUCACUUCUGGAUAACCGCUUGAAAGGGUGGCUAAUACGGGGUGUUUUGGCUGUGCCGCAUGGUGUGGCUGGGAAAGAUUCACUUUUGUGGUGUUUUGGUGGGGGAUGGGCUCGCGGCCUAUCAGCUUGUUGGUGGGGUGAUGGCCUGCCAAGGCUUUGACGGGUAGGCGGCCUGAGAGGGUGGGCGGUCACACUGGGACUGAGAUACGGAGCAGACUCCUGCGGGAGGCAGCAGUGGGGGGUAUUGCACAAUGGGCGGAAGCCUGAUGCAGCGACGUCGCGUGAGGGAUGGAGGCCUUCGGGUUAUGAACCUCUUUCGCCGGUGAAGAAGGUCCUGCUCUUUGUGGUGGGGUUGACGGUAGCCGGGUUAUGAAGCGCCGGCUAACUACGUG